AAUAUUGCACAAUGGGCGCAAGCCUGAUGCAGCAACGCCGCGUGAGGGAUGACUGCCUUCGGGUUGUAAACCUCUUUUAGUAGGGAAGAAGCCCUUUGGGGUGACGGUACCUGAAGAAAAAGCAACGGCCAACUACGGUCCAGAAGCCGCGGUAAUACGUAGGGUGCAAGCGUUGUCCGGAAUUAUUGGGCGUAAAGAGCUCGUAGGCGGUUUGUCGCGUCUGCUGUGAAAGCCCGGGGCUCAACCCCGGGUCUGCAGUGGGUACGGGCAGACUUGAGUGCGGUAGGGGAGAUUGGAAUUCCUGGUGUAGCGGUGGAAUGCGCAGAUAUCAGGAGGAACACCGAUGGCGAAGGCAGAUCUCUGGGCCGUUACUGACGCUGAGGAGCGAAAGCAUGGGGAGCGAACA
rnacentral:rRNA from 1 species